UACGGAGGGUGCGAGCGUUAAUCGGAAUUACUGGGCGUAAAGCGCGCGUAGGCGGUUUGUUAAGUCAGCUGUGAAAGCCCCGGGCUCAACCUGGGAACUGCAGUUGAUACUGAUCGACUAGAGUACGAAAGAGGGAGGUAGAAUUCCAUGUGUAGCGGUGAAAUGCGUAGAUAUCCGGAGGAACAUCAGUGGCGAAGGCG
rnacentral:rRNA from 1 species